UUUCUAUUUUUUCCUUUUUUUUUUGUUUCCCUUCUGUAAAUUCAAAUAGACUUUGAAUUUGAAUUUUCUUCCAAUAGUGAAUAUUUCCUAAGUUCCUAAUGGAAUAUUUGUGCUAUGUGAAAUUUUUGUUUGGGCAUUUUGGACAUAUAUUUUAUGCAACUUACAUUUCCCAUUUGAAUUUGAAUUUGGUUUCAAAACCAAAUAUGUUUCAAAUCUAUUUUAAAAAUGGGAGAGGGUCAAGGUCAUUAUUUGGUCUUAGGGAAUUUCUUUUCCUGUCAAAGUAAAUGCAAGCCAUUUUUGAAUUAUCUCCUUUCACUUUUGAAUUGAUUCCAAAAUGAAACCCAAUUCAAUUGUUAGGAGAAUUAUUUGGCUUGAAUAUUACUUGGGACUUAUUAGGAAUAGCCUUAUGCCAAAUAAUAUUUUGAAAUGAUUUGGUUUCCACCAGAGGCUAGCUAGGUUUCAACUAGUUGCAUUUGGAUAUUAUCCCUUCUAGGCAAACAAUCAAACAAGACGAAGUCAAUCACAAGCAUUCCUAGGCAAUCAUGGUUGUUCUGUUCGUGAAAAGUCUUGCCCCCUUUGUGUUUUGGAGAUUGCUGCCAGAAACAGGCAUGGGCUGAUUUAUUUGUUAGUGCACACAGAGAGAAAUAUCCCAUGCAAGUCCGAAGAGAAUGCUAUAUUCGGUGUUAAGUUCGAGGAACUUCACUGAAGAAUAUAUGUGUUGCAGAGAAGGAUGAGCUAUGUUCUGUAAGGAUUUAUUUGUGCAAAGAUUGAAGCGAAGGAGUUGACCCCUUUAAAAUUAUUGCUGAUGUGAAGCAAAACAUGUUGAGUGAUGUCCGAAGAAAUUGGUUGCAGUCGAGUAGUUGAAGAUGAUGUGAUGUAGCAUUUGUUUCAUUGUUCUUCUGUCUCUCUUCUGAGUCAUAGGACCUCCGUACUAUUAAGAGGGGUAUAGGUUCUCGAUACUUAGGUCCGUUUGAUACUUAGCUGAAACCUAUGGAAGAUUGAGAGAAAUCUCUUUAUGCUUGGAAUGAUUACCUGUCAGCAGAACACGUUGUUCUUCGGUGCCACAGGAGAUAUCUUUCGGACUGAGGAGUUAGCAUUUCUUGCUCCGCAAGGAAUGUUACCAUUGUGCUCAAAUUUCCGACCGUUAGAAUCGUGUUGUUCAACCAUUGGCUGAUCCACAUGUCCAAUUUGGUCAUUUCCCAUCACGGAAGGCUGUGGCUAUAAAUAGCCACCCCGCUCCAACGUUGUCCGUUGGCUGCUUUGCUUAAGAUUUCUGAAAAGAUUGAUUGAGCAUGAGUUUAAAAUCCACCGAGAGAAAACAAAGAGCCAAAACUUAAAUAGUGGUUGAGCAUCACAGUAGUUAUGAGCUAGGGUUCUUAUACCUAUUACUCUUGAGAGUUGCACACUCUCUAGGCGGAUAGGUGUCGGCUUGAGUGACGAAUAGUAAUUGUCUUCACCAAGCAAAGUCUUCAGGAACCAAGUGUCGUUGUGGUUUGCAAAGAAGAUUGUCGAAGGUUUGGAGAUCGCCGAGAAGUAUCUAUCACGAGUGAAAUCAAUAGGAGUCUGAUCAACUCAGAGUUGAAGGAGAAUAGGACGGAGAGAGGUUCGCUCUUGUGUUCAAUCACAAGCCCCUCCAAUUAGACGCAGUCAUUUGGCAGAAGGGCGAACUGGUCUACAAAAUCCACAUGUCGCCAUCGAGCACCACUGGUUCACUUUUUAUUGCUACAUUUCCUUCAGCAGUUUACUUUCGUGCUCUAGGUUAAUAGAUUUAUCUGAUCUAGUAUUGUAUCAUCUGUAUUAGCCUGUGUAUCAUUUGUUGUCAUUAUUGUUUAUACUGUCAGCAUUUCUUUCAUCACUUUGUUGUCACUUUUUCCCAUGUUACUUCAUCUGAUAGCUUACUGCAUCACCAUUGUUGUCAUUAAGCCUAUGAUCUAUUAUGCUCAAAUGAUUCUAGCUUCUUUCCUCGAAAGAUUUGCUCCUCACUUAAGUGCAUGUUUAUUAUUCGCUUAUUCGAACAUAUUUCAUUGUUGUGUUUGGGAUCAUUUCAAAACAUUCGCAAGAAUUUUUUAAUCUCCCAUUCACCCCCCUCUGGUCGAUAUAAUCUCAGCCUAACAUGUUCCCUAGCAAAAAUUGUGGUUCCCUGUGAAUUUUUGAACAUACUGGUUUUGGGAAAAAUCUGGGAUGUGACAAUCUCUGUCGCAUGUGCGAGGACAACUUUGUUGUUCAGAGCCUUUGGUGACGACUGCCUCUUGUCGAGGCUCGACUGCCUGCUUAUACAUGCACGGUCUGCACUUGUGUGUCAUCUCACAUCAAGAUCGUGCUACAAAAUUAGCAACUGGGAUCGCGGAAAGUGGUGGCAACAACACAUGAUGACUUCGAUUUGAUGGUGCUUCCUGAGUACUCGGUCUCGGGCUCUGGGAUGAAAAUCUAUGUCUGACUCUAACUGGCUUGUGUCGUUACCUUGUUGAAGGCAUUGCUCGAACUUGAUCUUUGGGAUGAAACCUAAUAUUUGUUCUUCGGUCAUUGGAUCCGGCAACAACGACACUUGAGCAUUGUUUCCUUCUUGAAGAUGUUGUUGGAGAAACUUUGUCAUUGUCCUUAUGGUGUCAAGAGAUGAUUUGUGUGGAUAUGAUCAUUGUUGUAUUCGUUGAUCGUUAUUUUGAUCGCUUCAUUUUUUUUCUCCACCUAGGCAUAAUUUUUGUCUUAGGGCAUCUCCAACGCUGACCCGCAGAUAUCUCCGCUUUAGGUCCUUUUUUAUGUACAGACGUGGUCUGCGGACAUGAUGCAGGAGGGAGCCAUCCAAUUCUAAUAACAAAGUAUCCGGAUAGGAGAAAAGGUAGGUGGGGACAGUGCAUGUGGUGGAUAUUUGUGGUUUAGUGUUCGCUCGGGAGGAGAGAGAAGGGGACCAUGCAUGUGGAGUUGGGAGGAAAGAGAGAAGAGGAGGACCAUGCAUGUGACUGGUCAAGUGCAUGUCCUGACUUCGCCAAAGCCCCCACCCACUCACCCACGUUUGUCUCUUGGAUAUCGGAAUACAUACGUCCGGACUACUAAGCGGGCAUAUACUGGUCCCCGUUGGAUGACAAAAGUGGUUCAGACACUGUGGUCCAGACAUAUAGUGGAGGUUUGAGGCAUCUCCAACAGCAACCGGUAAAUUUCCCCCCGCAUCCGUCCGCGGAUAGGGGGGACCAGUCUGCGGACACGGAUGCGGGAGGCAGCCAUCCAACGCCGCCUGCAUACAUUUCAAGCCGAGUUUUGAAUUAGCAGACGAAAUUCAUGCAAACCGAUUGAUAUUCAUCAAAGUUCAGAAAGAAAAUAGCACAAAUCAUCCAUAUAUAGCAUGCAAAUAAGUCUAGUUUCUCAAAUUCGAUGUCCAACAAGUUUUUGAAUGGCUCAUGUCAUCCCACACAUACUGCCCCUUCAGCUUCAUCCAACAGUGUGUGUACGUAAAUGACCGUCUCUUUGUCCUAUGAUACAUCACGGCAGCGCCUACGGGCUACACAAUGUGUAGUGCAACAUUUGAGUGAAUGAAUGAUUCAAUCAACAAGUUGAGGAACAAGAAGCAAAACUUACGAUCUCCUCCUCUACCGCGUGCAAUGGCCACCUUGUGUCCAGCUGAGCAACUACGUGACAAAACUUGGCGACGAUGGUGUGGGUGGGGUACCAUUGAUAAGAUAAGGACCUUACAUUGUGAUCAUGGAUGAUGUGCAUGUCAUAGGGCUCAAUGUGCUUUCAUGCGUGAAAGGAUUCAUGCACUUGCAGCCAGAAUGUCCCCUCUCUGCUCCUGCCAAUGAAAUCUACGGAUACGACCAACCACGCAUCGCAAACAACUCAUCCUCCAUGGUCGAGUACCCCGCCACUCCUCUUACUCUGAGAAAACAACAUGGCGUCUGAAAAAAGAACAAUGGCACUUGACCGAACACAUGUCGGGCGUGGUGACCGCCAUGGAGGUCGUCGACUGGGUGGCGGAGUGUACCUUGGUACAAACGGCUCCAGGAUGGACAACACUGUCUUAAAAGGCAAGCAGGCACGUCGGUGCUGGUUGCGAACAUCCGGCAAUGCUUGUGUGACGGUCGGAGAGGUACAACGGCAGCGGUGGAUGUGGAGGUUGUGGAUGCAAAGCAAGGUGGGAAGUGGCGGAGUGGAAGAAAAUGGGACCAGGAGGGCGGAUUCAGUGGGCCUGGGGUGUCAGAAUCCAACGUGUCCGUUGUCUGGACUCCCGCAACCCCCCCCCCCCCCGGGUCUCCACUUUGCGGGGGAAAAUGCUUACAGACCACUGAGCGGACUGAUACAGGUCCGUGUUUGAUCGCUUCCGCGGUCCGGACAACACAAUCUAGACGUGUGCGGAUGGUUUGAGAGUCGGUGUUGGAGAUGCCCUUAGACAACUUUAUAUUUUGUAGGUGUUUUUUUAUGCGUGUUGGUAUUAACCAUGUGUAUCUGCAAAGGUCAUGGACUCGUUGUGUUUGUAGCCCUUUAGGUUUGAUUCUGAGGUAAAUAAAAUUCAGUCUUCGUCAAAGAACACUGAACAUGCAUGGAUAGAUGGAGCCAUGUGACAACCUGCAAGCGGAACGCUAUUGGCUAGGACAUAGGUAGAUCUGAGGAUUUUGUCUUCUUUCGUCGAGCGCAAGGAGGGAGACCUCGACAUGGCAUCUUGUGUGUGAUGACGUGGUGACAUGACGCGGUCCUAGAAAAUUAGUUGCGCCUCCUACCAUUGAGAAAAAUCAGGUGAUUUCGUUUUUUUUGUUGGUUAGAUUUCUUCUUACGUUAUGAGAUGAUGACUAGACGAUCUCAUUUUACCUGCCGAAUUAUGUCGUCUUCCUCCGAGCCGUCUAAUCCAAGAGAACAUCAUGACGCGUGAUCAGUUGUCUGCCCAUUUUUGGGGCCUCUGGCAAUUACGUUUCCUAUAUUGUUUCUAGCAUCGCCAGAGAUAAUUUUAUUUUGUUUUUGUUUCGUCGUAGUUUUAUCUGGUACUCGAAGUACAUGAAAUUUCUGGACAAAUACACCCAAUUAAAUUUGUCCAUAAAAUACCCAUUUAAUUAAGUAUCGGUACUAGCUAGCUUGAAUAUAGACAGAUGGUGUAUGUAGACUUUCUUCUUCUUUUAUUAUCUUAAGAAGGAGGUUAAAACCUCAAUCUCAGCAUCAAUGUGAUGUACACGGUCAUUUUUAUUAAAACAAAGGCAACCACAACUGAAACAUUACAAGAUAUGAAAUAAAUAUCUUGUACUAUAACUUCCUCCAUAAGGAAUAAGCACCCUCGCAUUGUCAUUGUCACGUCUGGCCCAAGACUGUCAAUGCAAGUAUUUUCAUCAUGAUUACUAAGACAAACCACAUAAAAACAGCACAUUAGCAAGUAGACAACACAUUCAACAUGGUAACCAUGCAAAUUUGCCACCUCUGAGUCCAACCAAUCAAGGCCAAAACAAGAGUUUUCAGCUCUCACAUGAACCUCGAUGUUCCAAACAUCAUGUUGAAAAUGGAUCUUUCGGUAGUCACACGGCCUUGUACUCCGCAUCAGGUCGAAAUGAUGCUAGAGGAUAGUUGGGACAUCUUCCCACCAUAGAUCAUCUUCUCCUUUAGAUGCCGUAGUCAGCGCUACGGAAUCUGUCACCCUCCAUGCACCGCCCCUCCUCCUCGGCCCUGGCGGCGGCACCCACCACGAGCACACUGCAUCGUUAGAGCAUCUACAGCCGGGCGCCUUAAACCCGCCUCAUACGCCCGGGCAGGCCGCCCGCUCACUGUUCGGUCACGAUUUUGACCCAGACGGGCCCCUCAAAUGGCCCUCAAACACCAGGGCUGACCGGCACCCCCCAUAUCCAGCCCAAAUAUGGGGCGGAUAUGUGGGCGCCCAGGCGUAUCCGGGCACGCCCGCCACGUCGGACCCGGUCCACGCUGGCCCAUCCGACCCUACAUAAAAUUCUUCCCAUCCGCUCGCCGGACCAAACCCUAGCCACCUCACUCCCCCUCCCCUCCACUCCCCUCCACCACCCAAGCUCGUCUCCGACUCCUUCCGGUUGUCUCCGGCAUGGCGGGCAGCGGAUCCGAGUCCUUCACCUCCAGAUCCGUCGACCCCAAGUUCAUCCCACGCGGCCCCGAGAAGGAGCUGGCCGUCUGGCCUCCGCCGCGCCCGGGAGGACGCCCGUGCAUGUAAUAAUAUGGAUUUGAGGUAUCCGAAUGUGAAAUGCGUUUUUUAAAGGAUGACUGGUCACUGUCCGCGGACGCGCCCAGGCGCGUCCGUAGGCGUUUGAGGGGUCGGAUUUGCCAACUCCGGCUGUAGAUGCUCUUAAAGGGAGCGAAAAGGAGGAAGGGAGGUUUCCGUCGGAAGAAACUCGCCGAUCCAUAAAAGACAGAUCAGGUGGUUUCUUUCCUUGGCCAUCCCCAGGUGUCUACCUGAAAUAAAGUACUAACAACUACUAAAACCGAAAAGGCAGGGAUUUCGAUUUCCAGCAAAUGCAGUCAAAGAAGAUUGGGGCAUAAGCACCCAAUCACCCAAACAAAAUCAUGCAUCUACUAACCCAGACGACAAGUCUACAAACAUCUAACAAAUCCAGCUAAUCCUAUGGGGGGAGGUGAUGGGGACAUGCAUGGGGUGGCAAUUAGAUGGACAGUGAUAGGGCUGACACCAUGUGUGUUGAACUAAUCAUGCAUGCAGCUCUUGGAUCUUGAGGCCCUGACUUGUCAAAAUCCUUGGAAUGGGAGUGAACAGUUUGCUUGCGUUGCAGGCCUCUCCCUCCCUCCCACAUAUCCUGAGGGUGAGGGGGGACCGGGACCAACGCAUGUAUGUUAUUGUUACCAACCACUCCCACAUAACUCGCUAUCCAAUCACACUGCCCAAUCUUGAGCAGCAUAUGAGCCAACACAAGAUCCACACUUGAAUUCUGAAUCUGGUCAGGAUUCAUUGCUGGAUCUGUCUGUAGGAAAAAAGAUCCUGCCUUCAGGUUAAUAGUAAUUCUUCGCAAAAAAAAUAGUAAUUCUUCGCUUGCCCCUUGGGCCUUGGCCGUAAGAAAGUAACUAACCCGGUAAAACUGAUGGGCCUUGUACUGCUUAUUACAGUAUUUCCUUCUGUUGUGGCAAUCAAUUGAGUUGGGCACCUUUUUUAUACUCUUUUCUUUUCAUGUGAUGCUGAGGCAUAUGUUCUGACUUUGGAUGACAGUAAUGAAAGAUUAUAUCUAUGAGCUGUGACAAGUGGUGAUGAUAAUCUUAAUCCAGUGCACAUGCGAGUACUCCUAUAAGAGAUCUAAAACACCCCUCAAAAAAAUAUGAGAUCUAAAACAUGACAUGCCUAGCUGUCUGUUCAGUGAACCUCAUGAUGCAGUGAUCCACAAAAAAACAUUCUAAUAAACCAACAAAAGCUCCACAACCCCACUGAGAACACAAACAAUCGAAUGACUAAAGAAACCUACACUUGUCAUAACAUGAACAAGAUCCGUCGUGCGAUAAACAUAUCGAUUCGUGCAAUUCGACAACGGAAAUCUUGCACGAUGUAGCGUGGGAGGGGGGCCGCGCUCGGAUUAUUGGCCCGGGAGAUGAGAAUAUUAAUAGCUGGGGCUUGUUAUCUUGGUCCUAUCCUUUUCUUGGCACUACCUACAUAGGAGCAUCUUUGGCUCCUUUAUCAUGCAUGAACUCCAUUGGCCUAAGUGGCUUGGGUUUGUUUGGCACGGCCACAAGGCCCCACCAUGACAGUAGAACUAAUGACAGGAGAGAAUCUUAAAUCCCCUCCCUCCCCUCCCUGCCUCACCAGAUUUGAUACAUGCCAACCUGUUGCUUCUUAACAGAACCAAAAAGGUUUGGACCUUGGCCUAGAAGUAGCUAGCAAGAGAGAUCUUCUUGGGGGAGAAAGAGGGAGAGUGCCUUACCUUGUUCAGAAGAGAAGAAUUCAGAAACAGGACUCCUUGCCAGAGGUGAGCACAAGUCUCUUGAUACUUCCUUCCUCUUUCUUACCUUGUUCAUCUCCGAUGAUUCUUGUCUUGAAAGUUCUGCAAUUCAGCUAGCUUUCCUGGGACAUGAUAAUAAUAUCUUCAAAGUCUACGAACCACGGUCCUUUGAUCGGUUCUUCGUUCUUUCUGUUCUUCAUUCUUUGUAAUUCCAUGUGCAAAGGACGGUGCUGAUGCUCAGCCUUGAGAAAGUGCAAUGGCAUGUUUCUAUUUGCCAGGAAGCUGUAGCUGGUCUUCCUCCUGUCGUUUUAGGGCUCUCUGAUCUUUUAAGGACUGCCAUCUGUGUUGAAACUGUUUCCUAGUUUCUCUGGGGAAGCACAAUGGCAUGCAAGCAUAUAGAGCAAGGAAGGAGAUGCAGAAUUGUGUCAUGUUUUCUACUCCCUCCGUCCGAAAAAACUUGUCCCAAGCUUGUUUCUCAAAUGGAUGAAUCUGGCACUAACUUGGUGCUAGAUACAUCUAUUUGAGGGACAAGCUUUUCCGGACGAAGGGAGUAUAAGUCUUUUUAGACAUUUCAAAUGGAAUACAACAUACGGAUGUAUGUAGACAUAUUUUAGAGUGUAGAUUCAUUCAUUUUGCUCCGUAUGUAGUCACUUGUUGAAAAUUCUACAAAGACUUACAUUUGGGAACGGAGGGAGUAUAAUUCUAUCUCAAAGAAUCAAACGGUACUACAGUUGCAGGGUGUAAAUUCGGUAGGUUUCAAUUUGGGCAGGGAUGGGUGGGAAACACUGAAAGGCUGAUGGAGUUUGGGUUACAGAUAGGAAAACCUACAUAUUUUUGUAAAAUCUAGUACGUAUAUUAGAAGCCAAAAUUAGAAUUGUGCAGGCAUACGAACUUAAGAUGAUCAGACCUAAAAAUGCUUCUUACCAUAGCCUCCACGAACUCAAGAUCUUAGCAGUCCAAAUUGUCUGACCAACGUGCAUAACUCCCUUUCAUAUGAUCUACGAUGGUAUUCAUGAUAUAUGCUUUAUAUUGCUCUAAAACUCUCAGCCAAUUCACAAGGAAAAUACGUACCAAACUUUUAUAUAACAUUUCUCGACAGAAAAAACAACCGGGUCUCCCCCAUGUUAUUUCCCUGUAACAAACCAGUUCACAUGCUCACAUAAAAACUGAUUAAUUUGUUAGGUCACGUCACACACCACCAUAGCAUUUAUUUAUGCUUGCAUAGGAUACUCAUUUACACAACUAUACAACUUAUUAAUUGGCAAAAUGGCAAAGCAAGCUGGAUACUCCUAUGUGGAGAAUAAUAGAACUUGUACAGAGCUAUAGAGAAGCAAGUACAAUCAUUCAGAAGCUACACAUGAGAGUGUCUCCAUCUCAAGGUAGGAGAUAAUUCACGACAAGCAGACACGCAACCAGCACAUAAACAAAGCUCCAAUUAUUGCAACGCAUAUGCAGUAUCUUGCUAUUGUUGGGAGAAAAACUUUUGGUGCUCAUGUGUCAGGCUCUGAUGAAACAGGUGAGGCUGAUACUUCGUGUGGGUUGGUGAGAGAUGGAGAAGAAACAUAUGAAGAUGGCCAUCCUGAGGCAAGAGCAGACAUUCAGACAACAGGUAAACCAAUGUCUGGUUACAAGUAGUGCCAUCUUCUAGCUAUAUUGGUGGAAAUAUUGAACGGACUGUUCUUUUGUUGAAGCAGGUUCACGAGCUGCAUCGCGUAUACGAGGUUCAGAAGCGGCUGAUGAAGGAGAUGCAGGCUGUUAAGAUGAGCCCAGCUCAGGCAAGAGAGGAUACUCGACCAGAACCGAUGCUGGAUACAGAUCGACCACAAUGGCACAUCAACUCAGGCGAGAAGACCGCUCGUUUCACCGAGGACUUCAACCUGGAGCUGACACUAGCAACUGGGGGUGAUACAAGGAAGCAGGAGAUGACAUCCAACUCCGAGUCUGGAGCAACGGUGACAUCGUCGACUUCUGCUGAAUCAGAGUCGGGGCAGCGAUUCCCCAAGUCCAAUGUAGACCUGAGGUUUCAACAUGAGAGCAAGAGGCAUGAUGAUCAGCUCACGCAGUCUCCCUGGCUCUACCAAUGUUUAAGUCUCAAGAUGGCUUAAUGGCUUAGCUACGGGUGGCUUACAGAAGCAUAUGCAUUAUUAUAUGUACAUCAAAAAACUAAUUCGUUGCAAUCAGAGGAAUGCGAUCAAUAGAAAGUCAUCAUUCACAUCUACAAAAAAUACAACAAAAUCAUUUCAAAGAACACCAACGCCAAGAAAAAGCGAACAAACUGUGUAAUCGUCUUCUUUCUGCGUACAAGGGAGGGAGAUGUACAUAACUAUCCGCUAAUAAAUGUUGCAUUGUAUGUAGAGAUCUUCAAGCGUAAACCUUACCUUGUCCACUUUAUCUUAGGGACAAGAACAAUUUUACCUAACAUCUGCAUAACUGGGCACAGACAAUUUGGUAAAAACUGCUUGUUUCUAAGUGCAAUAUGACAAACUUCAGAAAGAUGGGAGAAAUGCCUAGUGUCAUUCUACCAUCCAUACAGAAAUGCCUACCCAAAACUGUACGCAAGCUAGAAAAGCCUGGUGGAUACUACUCUACUGAAUACGAAAUAUGCCUAGCAAGCAGUUUGUCUCCGUUUUCGUCGUUGAACAUUGAAAGCUUAAAUGAGCUAGUGGUGGUAAUGACGGCCCCGUCAUAGUUCCAAGUAAUGCCCAUGAAGACUUCCUUUCAGAAAUAACUGGCAGAAACUCAGUCAUUUGAUUAUGACUAAGAGCUCGUGAUCACCUCCACGCCUGGUUUCUUUAAGCCGGCCAUGUAUGUUAGGUAGAUGGUCCAAAGAAACGCAAAGGAAUUGCUUACUAGCGGCUG
rnacentral:lncRNA from 1 species